ACGGGUGAGUAACACGUGGAUAACCUACCUAUAAGACUGGGAUAACUUCGGGAAACCGGAGCUAAUACCGGAUAAUAUUUUGAACCGCAUGGUUCAAAAGUGAAAGACGGUCUUGCUGUCACUUAUAGAUGGAUCCGCGCUGCAUUAGCUAGUUGGUAAGGUAACGGCUUACCAAGGCAACGAUGCAUAGCCGACCUGAGAGGGUGAUCGGCCACACUGGAACUGAGACACGGUCCAGACUCCUACGGGAGGCAGCAGUAGGGAAUCUUCCGCAAUGGGCGAAAGCCUGACGGAGCAACGCCGCGUGAGUGAUGAAGGUCUUCGGAUCGUAAAACUCUGUUAUUAGGGAAGAACAUAUGUGUAAGUAACUGUGCACAUCUUGACGGUACCUAAUCAGAAAGCCACGGCUAACUACGUGCCAGCAGCCGCGGUAAUACGUAGGUGGCAAGCGUUAUCCGGAAUUAUUGGGCGUAAAGCGCGCGUAGGCGGUUUUUUAAGUCUGAUGUGAAAGCCCACGGCUCAACCGUGGAGGGUCAUUGGAAACUGGAAAACUUGAGUGCAGAAGAGGAAAGUGGAAUUCCAUGUGUAGCGGUGAAAUGCGCAGAGAUAUGGAGGAACACCAGUGGCGAAGGCGACUUUCUGGUCUGUAACUGACGCUGAUGUGCGAAAGCGUGGGGAUCAAACAGGAUUAGAUACCCUGGUAGUCCACGCCGUAAACGAUGAGUGCUAAGUGUUAGGGGGUUUCCGCCCCUUAGUGCUGCAGCUAACGCAUUAAGCACUCCGCCUGGGGAGUACGACCGCAAGGUUGAAACUCAAAGGAAUUGACGGGGACCCGCACAAGCGGUGGAGCAUGUGGUUUAAUUCGAAGCAACGCGAAGAACCUUACCAAAUCUUGACAUCCUUUGACAACUCUAGAGAUAGAGCCUUCCCCUUCGGGGGACAAAGUGACAGGUGGUGCAUGGUUGUCGUCAGCUCGUGUCGUGAGAUGUUGGGUUAAGUCCCGCAACGAGCGCAACCCUUAAGCUUAGUUGCCAUCAUUAAGUUGGGCACUCUAAGUUGACUGCCGGUGACAAACCGGAGGAAGGUGGGGAUGACGUCAAAUCAUCAUGCCCCUUAUGAUUUGGGCUACACACGUGCUACAAUGGACAAUACAAAGGGCAGCGAAACCGAGAGGUCAAGCAAAUCCCAUAAAGUUGUUCUCAGUUCGGAUUGUAGUCUGCAACUCGACUACAUGAAGCUG
rnacentral:rRNA from 1 species